rnacentral:lncRNA from 1 species
AAGUCAAGCAUACCUAUUAAUACCAUACAUCACAAUGUUUCAUCCAUACCAUAUGUUAAGGUGAUAAUCAUCACCAAAUACAUCAAAAUGUAAAUUAAAAAUCUCAAAAUAUCUGAUCUUGCUAUUCAUCCAAACAACCAUCAUGUAGACAAAAAUAUUCUUAUACCAAAAACUGAAUUCUGCUUGUAGACAACUCCACCAUGAUCAUCUGAACAAAAGCUAUCCAUGUACCAAAAACUAGAUUUCACAUGCUCAUAACUCCACCAUANNNNNNNNNNNNNNNNNNNNGACAACUCCACCAUGAUCAUCUGAACAAAAGCUAUCCAUGUACCAAAAACUAGAUUUCACAUGCUCAUAACUCCACCAUAUAUCUGAGAAAGCAAAAAAGAAUACACAAUCAAUAACCACAUGUGAAAAAUAAUAAACUAAAAUUCAAGUAUAAGUUCACAAUGACAUUUCGCUUAAUUUGGUCAAAAUCUCUAAAUAACCUACGUAAUAAAAUGAGAAUACAUACCAACGAGUAUUUGUACCACCAGUUGAAUACAUGGCCCCAUCAUGAUGGAUAGAUGACUUGUGCGUUUGAGUCUUUUCCUUUCAGAACUUUGUCACCAAACUUGUAAGAUGUGCAAUUUGCUUCUGUUCUUCCUCUCGCUCUUUCCUUUCCUCCUCACACUCUCUCUUCUCCUGCUCCAAUUGCCUCCGCAGCUCCUCACGCUCCAUCUCACGCUGGUAAGUUUUAGGAGGAAGCUGGUAAUCCUCAACUGGUGUAAUGCUGACACAAAGAUCAGCUAUAGUUGC